rnacentral:rRNA from 1 species
UACGGAGGGAGCUAGCGUUGUUCGGAAUUACUGGGCGUAAAGCGCGCGUAGGCGGCUUUGUAAGUUAGAGGUGAAAGCCCGGGGCUCAACCCCGGAACUGCCUUUAAGACUGCAUCGCUAGAAUCCGGGAGAGGUGAGUGGAACUCCGAGUGUAGAGGUGAAAUUCGUAGAUAUUCGGAAGAACACCAGUGGCGAAGGCGACUCACUGGCUCAUUACUGACGCUGAGGCUCGAAAGCGUGGGGAGCAAACAGG